AAGAAUGAAGAGCUGGUCACACCUCUCUUGAGACAUUGGGUGUGAGGCCAACACCUGAAGAUGCUGCUGCUACUGCUGCUUCCGUUGCUUCUGGGACCCAGCUCUGGACUCAGUGCUCACGUCUCUCAAAGUCCAAGCAGGGUCAUCUGUGCAAGCGGGAUCCCCGUGACAAUCGAGUGCCAUGCAGUGGACAUUCAGGCCUCAACUAUAUUUUGGUAUCAGCAGUUCCCGAAUCAGGGCCUCGUACUGAUGGUGACUUCCAACAUGGGCUCACCUGCCACACACGAACAAGGUUUCUCCAAGGACAACUUUCCCAUCAGCCACCCAAACCUGACUUUCUCAGCUCUGACGGUGGCCAGUGCACGCCCUGAACACAGCGGCCUCUACUUCUGUGCUGCCAGUGACACAGCGCUGGGCAGAGAUCAGAGGCCCAGGAGACGUCAAUGA